GGGGAUAUGGCGCAGUUGGUAGCGCGCGACGUUCGCAAUGUCGAGGCCAGGGGUUCGAAUCCCCUUAUCUCCACCA
rnacentral:tRNA from 1 species